rnacentral:Y_RNA from 1 species
GGCUGGUCCAGGUGCAGUGGUGUUUACAACUAAUUGAUCACAACCAGUUACAGAUUUCUUUUUUCCUUCUCCACUCCCACUGCUUCACUUGACUAGCCCCCA